AUUGAACGCUGGCGGCAGGCCUAACACAUGCAAGUCGAGCGAGCGGCGGACGGGUGAGUAAUGUAUGGGGACUGCCCGAUAGAGGGGGAUAACUACUGGAAACGGUGGCUAAUACCGCAUACUAUCGGAUAACCCAUAUGGGAUUAGCUAGUAGGUGGGGUAAAGGCUCACCUAGGCGCCGAUCCCUAGCUGGUCUGAGAGGGUGACCAGCCACACUGGGACGGAGACACGGCCCAGACUCCUACGGAGGCAGCAGUGGGGAAUAGUGCACAAUGGGCGCAAGCCUGAUGCAGCCAUGCCGCGUGUAUGAAGAAGGCCUUAGGGUUGUAAAGUACUGUCAGCGGGGAGGCGUUACCCGCAGAGAAAGCACCGGCUAACUACGUGCCAGCAGCCGCGGUAAUAC
rnacentral:rRNA from 1 species